UGGGGAAUCUUGGACAAUGGGUGCAAGCCUGAUCCAGCCAUGCCGCGUGAAGGAUGAAGUAUUUCGGUAUGUAAACUUCGAAAGAAUAGGAAGAAUAAAUGACGGUACUAUUUAUAAGGUCCGGCUAACUACGUGCCAGCAGCCGCGGUAAUACGUAGGGACCAAGCGUUGUUCGGAUUUACUGGGCGUAAAGGGCGCGUAGGCGGCAAUUCAAGUCAUCUGUGAAAUCUCCGGGCUUAACUCGGAACGGUCAGAUGAUACUGCUUUGCUAGAGUGCAGAAGGGGCAAUCGGAAUUCUUGGUGUAGCGGUGAAAUGCGUAGAUAUCAAGAGGAACACCUGAGGUGAAGACGGGUUGCUGGGCUGACACUGACGCUGAGGCGCGAAAGCCAGGGGAGCAAACGGGAUUAGAUACCCAAGUAGUCCCUGAGCGGGCUGGCAAGGCGCAU
rnacentral:rRNA from 1 species